rnacentral:rRNA from 1 species
UACGGAGGGUGCGAGCGUUGUCCGGAAUUAUUGGGCGUAAAGAGCUCGUAGGCGGUUUGGUAAGUCGGAUGUGAAAUCUCCAGGCUCAACCUGGAGGGGUCAUUCGAUACUGCCAUGACUAGAGUUCGGUAGGGGUGUGUGGAAUUCCUGGUGGAGCGGUGAAAUGCGCAGAUAUCAGGAGGAACACCCGUAGCGAAGGCGGCACACUGGGCCGAUACUGACGCUGAGGAGCGAAAGCGUGGGGAGCGAACAGG